rnacentral:rRNA from 1 species
CCUACGGGUAGCAGCAGUGAGGAAUAUUGGUCAAUGGACGAGAGUCUGAACCAGCAACGUAGCGUGAAGGAUGACUGCCCUAUGGGUUGUAAACUUCUUUUAUAUGGGAAUAAAAUGUUCCACGUGUGGGAUUUUGUAUGUACCAUAUGAAUAAGGAACGGCUAACUCCGGGCCAGCAGCCGCGGUAAUACGGAGGAUCCGAGCGUUAUCCGGAUUUAUUGGGUUUAAAGGGAGCGUAGGUGGAUUGUUAAGUCAGUUGUGAAAGUUUGCGGCUAAACCGUAAAAUUGCAGUUGAAACUGGCAGUCUUGAGUACAGUAGAGGUGAGCGGAAUUCGUGGUGUAGCGGUGAAAUGCUUAGAUAUCACGAAGAACUCCGAUUGCGAAGGCAGUUCACUGGACUGCAACUGACACUGAGGCUCGAAAGUGUGGGUAUCAAACAGGAUUAGAUACCCUUGUAGUC